ACGAACGCUGGCGGCGUGCCUCAUACAUGCAAGUAGAACGCUGAAGGAGGAGCUUGCUUCUCUGGAUGAGUUGCGAACGGGUGAGUAACGCGUAGGUAACCUGCCUGGUAGCGGGGGAUAACUAUUGGAAACGAUAGCUAAUACCGCAUAAGAGUAGAUGUUGCAUGACAUUUGCUUAAAAGGUGCAAUUGCAUCACUACCAGAUGGACCUGCGUUGUAUUAGCUAGUUGGUGGGGUAACGGCUCACCAAGGCGACGAUACAUAGCCGACCUGAGAGGGUGAUCGGCCACACUGGGACUGAGACACGGCCCAGACUCCUACGGGAGGCAGCAGUAGGGAAUCUUCGGCAAUGGACGGAAGUCUGACCGAGCAACGCCGCGUGAGUGAAGAAGGGUUUCGGAUCGUAAAGCUCUGUUGUAAGAGAAGAACGAGUGUGAGAGUGGAAAGUUCACACUGUGACGGUAGCUUACCAGAAAGGGACGGCUAACUACGUG
rnacentral:rRNA from 1 species